GCAUGCGCGUAGCCGCUGUUGCUCUUCAACAGUGAGAAAAAAAUAAAGUGUUAUUCGCUGUUCGGCGUCGCAGUUGUGUCUUCUAAUCCUACCUCAAAGGCAAACCCACUCCUGGCGUGUCUCAGUGACACGGACACUGACGACUGGAAAGGGUUGUGUAACCAUGAUCUGAUGCAUUAAGGUCUGCAUUUUCUCCGUGGACUCUCACGAGCAGCACAUACAAACACAUCAGCAAUGUCUCAGUCUGAAUCCUGUGCCAAUGUGGGGGAGUGGCUGGGCGUACUUCGCCUGGAGCAGUAUUCCGAUGCAUUUCAGAGUGCCGGAUAUGCAACAUUACAACAAUGUCGCAGCCUCACACCAGAGCAACUGGAAUGCAUUGGUAUCACCCUGCCAGGUCACCAGAGGCGCAUCUUGGCAAGUCUGAACAAAACACAUGGGAAUCAUGACGCUCACACCAUCGGACCGUUUGAGAGAUCAGAGGAAAUGGGACAAGCUGAAUUUCUGGGGAGAGAUAGACCAUUGCCUGUCCCACCAUGUGAAAAAUCUCUCCUUCAGGACAAUGUGAAGCAAGAUGGAGAGACUUUGAGACCUACACCUAGGAAACGAGAAACGCCAGUCCCCAGAGAAAGACAAGUAUCCAGAAUGCAGGAGAGCAGCGGUGAAGGAGAGAAGCCAGUUCCUGGGAAAAGACAGAUGGUACCUAGAAAUGAUGGGGAGAAAGAGAGGGAUGGAGGGAUAGAUAGAGAGAGGAAGAAACCUGUGCCAAAAGAAAGGACUAAGUUUCGCUCUACUACUCCAGACAACUUGGACCCUAGCCCCCCUCCAGCUUUGGACACUUCUUUGCCCCCUGUUCCCCCCCGAAGCACACCAAACUGCCCUCCACAGCCCUUCACCUUACCCCCUGUUCAAACCUAUGGCUCCCCUAAACUGGAAAGACAAGAGGUCAGGGCUCCAGCUUUACAAUGCCGAUCUGUGUCCCCCAGUUCCACAUUUACACCCCCCCAACCACCAUCCCACCCUCCAGACCUCCCUUCUACUGCAAAUAGGCCUCAGACAUUAGCCAUUCAGCCGAAUGCCCAAUACCUAACUGUCGAUGGAGGAAGAAAAUCUUCACCUGUUUCUCCCAUCCACUCCCCUUGCAGUAGAAAUAUUCCACCUCUUCCUCCAAAGGCAGGAAUAGCAUCUAAAGGCCCUCCACCAAUCCCUCAACGGUUUCCUGUUCAGUCUCCCAGAACUCACAGCCCAUCUCCCACCAAGACAGGCACGGAUGACCCGCUCAGAGAACAAACUCCAGAGAUCCCACCUCGCAUCAGGCCACCUAAAACUCAAGAAAGCCCACAACAGUUGACUCAACUUGAUAUACAGCCAGCUCUGCCUGCUAGGAGAAUUCCCCAACCUCCCAGCGAGUAUAUGUUGGCUACGGUCAACGAAAAUUCAAAUGACUACGAGGAGCCAGACUUGUUUGGUCCCGCUGGUCAUCGAAUGAACCCACCAGAGAGGGAUAUGUCCCUGCAAGUGCCAAAUUACACAAAGAAGCGGCCGAGUUCCCUUUGCAGUGACGAUGGAGUGCUCGACGAUUAUGAGUAUGAAGGGAGUCUCCACAGCCAGCAAGGCAGUUUCUACCUACCAAACACUGGUGUUUUGGCUUCCACCAUGAAAGAAGACACCUCUCAGCUUUCUGCUGUCAUCAAGAUGGGUUGGCUGGACAAGAAUCCACCUCAGGGGGCUAUUUACUACCAGAGACGAUGGGUAAAGCUAGAUGCUGACUACCUGAGAUACUUUGACACUGACAAGGACGUGUAUUCUAAGGGGAUCAUCUCAACAGCUUUCAUCACUAAUGUGACCACUGUGGGGGAGCUGAAGUUUGAAGUUGUUACAAACAAUCGAACCUUCAUCUUUAGGGCUGAAAGUGAAGCUGAACGAAAUGAAUGGGUGACUGUACUGCAGGAUUGCACCAGUGGGCGCCAAAGGCACACUGUCAUGAACCCCGGCUCACCUUUAGCCCCAGACUAUCAGGGCUACUUGGAGCUAAAAGGGUUACGCUCCAAACUUUACACAGUUGUUGCCUCAGAUAAAGUUUUCCUCUACAAAAAUAUUGAUGACUAUCGUAUUGGAUUGGGUAUCACGUCUAUUGAGAUGAAUGUAGGAAACAUUAAGGACUCAGAUCGUCGAAGCUUUGAUCUCACCACACCUUAUCGCAUAUUUAGCUUCAUCGCAGAGUCGGAGCAGAUGAGAGAGCAGUGGGUGAAUGCUAUGCGAGACGCGAUAGGUGAGGCAUUGUCUAACAGCGAGGUGGCUGAGCGGAUCUGGGCGGAGUCUAGCAACAGUCUGUGUGCCGACUGUGAAGCACCGAAGCCGGAGUGGGCCGCCAUCAAUUUGUGUGUGGUGGUGUGCAAACAAUGCGCAGGGGAGCACAGAGGACUAGGCCCUAGCAUUUCAAAAGUUCGAAGUCUGAAGAUGGAUAAGAAAGUUUGGACAGAAGAGCUUAUUCAGUUAUUCCUGGUGAUAGGCAACGAGCGGGCUAACAGUUUUUGGGCAGCUAAUGUCCCACCAAGUGAAGCUCUGUCGCCUUCGAGCUGCAGCGAAGAGAGAAGACGCUUCAUCAGCAACAAAUAUCGCCAGGGCAAAUACAGGAGGUACCACGCUCUGUAUGGAAACCAGAGGGAGCUCAAUCACGCUCUUUGUAUAAAUGUGCAGUGCAGCGAUGUACUGGAGACGCUGAGCCUGAUUUUCUGCGGUGCAGAUGUGAAUUGUUCAACUGGGCUGGAAAGUCAACUCUCCCCCCUCUCCUUGGCCACCGCACACUCGCAACCCCUACAGGCCGAGUUAUUGAACCAUAAUCUGAACACAGAGCUACCACGGUUAGAGGAGGUGGAUGCUAUGGACCCAGAACCUUACCCACUACCUCCUUCCGUGUCUCACAAUGGCUUCUUAUUUAAAACUGCAUCCAUGGCUCGGCCAGUCACAGAGCGCAAGGCCAAAGAGGAGUUCAGUCGUCGCUGGUGCACGCUAAAUGAUGGCGUUUUCAGCUACUACGAAAGUGACAAGAACUCAAACCCAAAUGGAGCUCUCAAGGCUUCAGAGAUCGUGUGUUUGGCUUCCGACAACGAAGACAGACAUGGGUAUAACAAUACAUUUGAAAUUUAUACAGAGUCUGAGCGUCUCUACCUGUUUGGCACCGAUGACUCAGAAGUCAAAUCCCAGUGGGUCAAGUCUAUCGCCAAGGCCUUUAUUCCAGUCUCUGCAGAACCUUUGCUGAGAUUGAAUUUUGAGAGGAUUGGGAAGCUGAUGUGCAAAGAUGGCUUGAACCUACAAAGGUCCAAAGUUGGGUGGUUUGCUCUGGAGGGGUCUGUACUUCACGUUUACCUGGAGGGCAGUCAGGUGGAGGAGAUCCACCUCCGCAAACUGAACGAACUAUCAAUUCAGCAAGACAAUGAAGUCAUGGUUCUGGUGGGGAAAGGCAGAACUCUGUACAUAGAAGGAAAGAGAAAGCUGGAUUUUUCUUGCUGGUGUGCAGCUAUCCAGGCAGCUGCAGGGAGUGGAGGAGACAGGCUGCACGAGCAGCAGCUCACGGAGACGGACAUACCGGUGAUCGUAGAUAGCUGCAUUAACUACAUCACACAGUGUGGUAUGGUGUCAGAGGGAAUUUAUCGCAAGAGCGGCGUGAACUCUCGUGUGGCAGCUCUGUGCGAGAGGUUUCGUCACGAUGCUCGCAGCCUUUGCCUAAGGGAAGGAGAGCAUCAGGUGGACGACGUCUCUAACACACUCAAACGGUUUUUCAGGGAGUUGAAAGAGGGAGUGUUCACAACACAGGACUCCCCCUCCUGGCUCAGCACUGCAACCAUUCAGGAUGAAAGUACUAAAAUCUCCCAGUACAAGAAGUUCUUGAACAAACUGCCUCAUGUCAACAAGGCAACACUACAAACCCUUAUCAAGCAUCUCUACUGCGUGCAGCACUUUUCGGAUGAAAACCAGAUGAACAACCAUAAUCUGGCCAUCGUGUUCGGUCCCACACUGUUCCAGACUGACGGGAAGGACUAUGCCGCUGGCCGCGCCAUUGAAGACCUCAUUGAGCACUACAAACUCAUCUUUGAGGUGGAUGAGCAGCAGCUGAACAAGCAGAUAGAAGUGAUUGAAGUUAUCCACAAAAUGCGGAAUUUGAAAAAUCUUCAGCCUCCUUCUGAACGAGGAGGUGACUUCAUUUGUACCGUGUACCUGGAGGAAAAGGCCAGUGGAGAGAGACAUGUGAAGAUUCCUGGUUCUAUGACAGCAUUAGAGCUCACACUGGAGAUUCUGGACCAGCGUAACAUCCCAAUUAAAGACAAAGAUUACUGGAGCUGCUGGGAGAUCUGCUGCAAGGAAGAAAUGGAACGACCGCUGCACUAUCAGGAGCGAGUCUUGCCCAUUGUUCACUCCAUCGGCACAGAGUCUCAUCUGCUUAUCAAGAAACAUGCUGCAAUGGAGGCCAUCACUCUUUACCUGUCCAGUAAACCGGAUGCAUCCAAGCACGGGAUGAUAAAAUUCAGAGAGGAGCGAAGCAUCUUGGGUUUGGGCCUCACCAGUUUUCAUGAGCGUUAUUUCAUCCUCAAUUACAACUCGCUCAGAAUGUACAAGGACGUCAGAAGUAACCGUCCAGAACGUGAAUGGCCAGUGAAAAACUUGAAGGUUUACCUUGGUAUAAAGAAGAAACUCCGUCCUCCCACAUGUUGGGGACUGACAGUUCUGUAUGAGAGCAUGAAACAAGAGAAGCCCGAGAGACAGCAGUGGUAUCUCUGCUGUGAGACCCAGUCAGAAAUGAGGGAGUGGUAUGCUACAUUUCUCAGUAUUCAGUACGACGGUAACGUGUGGCCUCAGGAUGGACUCCAGCACAAGCGCGUGAGUCGUGAGUUGCCAGACACGCGUCAUGGUAACGUGUCACUGAUACCACUGCGUGGCAGUGAGAAUGAGAUGCGGAACAGCGUUGCAGCUUUCAGCCAAGACCAGCUUGCUGUGAGUCAAUCUACCAAUCACUGGGAGUAAUCUAGGACGAACCAGGCAGCUCACUGCAAAGCUGCCCAGUUAAUCAGAGACUUUCAUGCUGCGCAGGUGGUCCAGACCCCUCAACCAUGAGCCGAAUCAAAGAGCAGUGCAAAUUUGCGCACAUCCUAUACCAAUUUUGCACUUUGCGAGUCUGAUUUCUAUUCAGAAUAGAAUACAUCGGAUUGUGCAUGAAAUCAAGCGUUCAGUCUCCUGAGGCAGAACUUCUCAUGCUCAAUUUUUCUCUUUGUUAACCUUUCAGUAAAGUUUGAGGGAUUCACCUGUGCAGGAUCAAUAAUCUCUGUUUCAUGAUUUGUCUGUGAUUUAACGAUCGUUGCAGGAUCUGGGUUCUUAAAAUAUUAAACUAAUCAAUUAAAUAUAUUAUGAAAUGCAAUCUCAUGUGGUUUCACGAGCUGCGAAGAUGAUAAAUGAUUUGUGUUCAACCAAAACAAAAAAAUGUUUUAAGAAUCCAGACUGUGUGCAGAGCCUUAGACGAUUUUUUUAUUUUAUUUUAUUUUUUGAUUGAGCCAGACUUAUCCUGGUGAAGCUCUGCCAAAGCCUGCUUCAGAGCACUAAAGACACAAACAAUAACACAUUCAGAGAGAGCUCAUGCUUGCAGGCAAACUAUACUUUCACAGCACUGGUGUCUCAUCAGCUCACAGAAUUGUAUUCUUGGCAUGAACAAACAUCACCUUAGUUCGCCGGACUAUAUUUUUAAGCUCUCUGACACUGAACCAGACCUGCUUAGCAGCAUCAAUAUUGUGUUCAUGCAGCCAUCCUAAACCCCUCCGCCCUCUGCUCAGUCGUCGGUGCAGAACAGAACGUCGACAAUCUGAUGAUGCAGUUGUCUCCUCCUGCUCUUUUCUUGUUAUCACAAACCGCUCAAUAUUUUGCUGCAGAUUGCAGCAGCACAUAAAAAUUCAUCUCAGCCUGCUGUAACUUCCACCGGCAAUAGCCUGAUUUCAGGGUUGCUGUGUUGUUGCCUGCCGCAUAUUUUCUAUUGAUUCCUGCCUGUUCAGUGUAUCGACAUGAUGUUGGAGUGUGAGAAGAGGCGUGAUUGCUGUGGUGAUAGGACCACAGAGGAUGAGAGAGAGAGUGCAAGUGUGUUAGUAGUUGAGAAGAGAUUCACUGCAUGUCGAUAUGUCCAAUUUUCGAUGUGAAGUGAAAGAGUAAAUCUGGUACACAGAUUGUGUGUGUGUUUGUUUGUGUGUGUGUCUGUUUGUCUAUAAAAUGGGCUUUUCUGGCAGUCAUUUAACCCUUUCUACACAGUUUUUCCAUUUGUAUUAUUGUAGGGUCUAUACCUGACAAUGUAAAGCGCCUUGGGGCAACUGUUGUUGUGAUUUGGCACUAUUUGAAUUCAGGUUAAUACAUUUUUGUCUGUUUUGUUGUUCAUCAAAAAUAUGCUUAUCUUUCAGUUCCUUAAAGAUUUUCGAUAAUGGUCUCAGUAAGGAAGGUUGGAUCAUCGGCCUCAUCGGAUGUCCCCUAGACAUUCCAGUGACGACUUCAUUCCCGAGGGGCAGACACUGAGAAAAACACUUAUAAUGUAUGCGGAUAAUGGCCUUGCACCUCCUUUGAACACGUGCUGGAAUGAAAAGAAUUCAGCAGACAACAGGAUCACACCGCUUUCCGUGCACAGAUGAAGUGAAUGAAGAGAAACAGUUUGUCAGACCACAGUUUCCCUGAAGAGGCCAGAAUCGAUUCCAACCUGAUUUGCACCUAAUGUUUCCACUGGACUCAUAAGAGACAAACUUUUAUUUCUUUAUAUAUAUAUAUAUUUUUUUUUUUUUUGGGGGGGGGGACACAAAAGACCAGUAAUCCUGGGCACCAGCACAGCAUGUUCUGCAGGUUUUUGUUUUAGACAUCAAAAGCUUGACAUUGAUUUUGCAGCCGAGUCAUAUUUUUAAACGUUCUGUACUCUUUGCUCAACAAAUCAUCGGAUCAGUGUGCAGUUUAAAUUAAGUAAUUGUAGCUUUUGUGACGUUGAUAUCAGAGGACACUGUGACCUGAUUUUCUCUCUGGAGUUUGUUCCAAGGGGACCAAACUGGACUGAAAAAUGACAGGUGAUGGAUGAUGUUAGUCCACGGGACAUUGGCCGGUGCUGUGGAAAACCUUAGUCCGAGGUUUUUUUGUGCUUUUUGCCACUUUUGUGCACAUGUGCAGCACUGUGCAUAGAGUGCGUUUACAUGGGGAUAUGAAGACCUUCAGGGAGUAAAGCAAGGAGAAUCUUGUGCUGAAAAAAGGCAUUAUUUUUUUCUCUUUUUCCUUUAUCUUUUCUUCCCAUCCUCACAGGCACUGCAUCCUCUUUGUAGAUGAUUUUUUUAAAAUAAAUCCUGAGCUACAGAAUACAGCGCAUUAACCAGCAGUAUUUAUAACGUUUUAGAUUAUGUGUUAGUCGCUUUUUCAAUAUCUUCUUUAUGCACAGCUUAGAAUCUUCGCAGGAUCGUGUUUUUUAUAGUAAGGAGCACAAAAGUGGUGCUGAAUAAUCUGUAGGUACAAGAAACGAAGUGCUUUACGAUGCUCCGUCAUUCCUUCUACACGAAUCCAACCUUGUAUAUAUUUAAUGUAAAGAAAUUAAUCUGUCAACAGUUGCCUUACCAGCAUCGCUGAGCAAUUCCUCGUCGCCGCUUCCUUUUAAUGUUCUCGCCUGUGGGAUUCCUGUAAUGUAAAGAUUUAUUUAUUUUGACAGCAGAGGACGCUGUGAUGCUGUGUUUUCUCAACCUGAGUUGGUGAUGAUCUUCAUCAACAUGUGUAAACACCUUGAAGUUGAGUUCCUGUGAAGAAUAUGUAUUUACAGUAGUGUGCCAUUAACUGCCCUCUGACCUCAGCAGGAGUCCUGAAGACUCAACUGUGUAAUAGCACGUUGUAUACAAAGUAUUCACUCUGUACUUCUUAGUGGUUUAUUGUUUUACAACAUUCAUUUAGAGUGGGUGUACUUACUUUCCAAAGGUUCUUGGCGCUGAUCGUCAGACUUUAGUUUUCAGGUUUAAAGGUAGCCUGUGUAUAAGUUGUAGCUUUCAGGUUCCGGUGUGAUCUAACAUAAAUAGUCGCUCACACCCGUGUUGCACAAAAAGAAUCCCUUUUAUGUGAUUUCUGGAACACUUAGCUGAAGUAUCGAUGGGUUAAAAUAUGCAGGUGAUUAUUUUAAAUGUUUCACAUAAUGUGGAUUUUUAUUUUUUUUUUAUUUUGAUCACUCUCAUCCUUUUUACAUCAUUACAAUUCAAAGUUGUAAAACAAAAGUCCAACAGAGGCUGUUAGAUACUGUUUAUAGAUGGUGUGUUUCUUUGUCCCUGCCUUUUGUAUUCUGUUACUGUGCAUUUUACAAAUUAUUGCAUCUCUAAAACUCUAAUAAACACAUUCUGCUAGUU